CAAAAGGCCCUUUUCAGGGCCACCCACAUUCUCCUAUAAAAGAGCG
rfam:Erinaceus europaeus unplaced genomic scaffold scaffold00740, whole genome shotgun sequence